rnacentral:misc_RNA from 1 species
AAAAACCCUUCAAAAAGCCAUUUUUGAGCUCUGAACCAGCCAUUUCUGAGAUCCAGUUGAAGCCAGAUGAUCAAUUUGUUAUAUUUGCAUCAGAUGGGUUGUGGGAGCACCUUAGCAAUCAGGAAGCAGUCGAUAUAGUUCAUAGCCACUCUCAAAAUGGAAGUGCAAGAAGACUGGUCAGAGCUGCUCUUCAAGUAGCUGCAAAGAAAAGAGAAAUGAGGUACUCAGAUUUG